GACGAACGCUGGCGGCGUGCUUAACACAUGCAAGUCGAACGGAGUGGCGAACGGGUGAGUAACACGUGGGUGAUCUGCCUUUCACUUCGGGAUAAGCUUGGGAAACUGGGUCUAAUACCGGAUAGUGCAAGAUGAUCUCGCGGCCUAUUAGCUUGUUGGUGGGGUAAUGGCCUACCAAGGCGUCGACGUGUAGCCGGCCUGAGCGGGUGUACGGCCACAUUGGGACGGGGAUACGGCCCAGACUGCUACGGGGGGAAGCAGUGGAGAAUAUUGCACAAUGGGCGUAAGCCUGAUGAAGCGACGCCGCGUGGGGGAUGAAGGCCUUCGGGUUGUAAACUCCUUUCGACAGGGACGCGGUACCUGUAUAAGAAGCACCGGCUAACUACGUGCCAGCAGCCGCGGUAAUUC
rnacentral:rRNA from 1 species